rnacentral:rRNA from 1 species
UGGGGAAUAUUGGACAAUGGGCGCAAGCCUGAUCCAGCCAUGCCGCGUGUGUGAAGAAGGCCUUUUGGUUGUAAAGCACUUUAAGCGAGGAGGAGGCUACUUGGAUUAAUACUCUAGGAUAGUGGACGUUACUCGCAGAAUAAGCACCGGCUAACUCUGUGCCAGCAGCCGCGGUAAUACAGAGGGUGCGAGCGUUAAUCGGAUUUACUGGGCGUAAAGCGUGCGUAGGCGGCUUCUUAAGUCGGAUGUGAAAUCCCUGAGCUUAACUUAGGAAUUGCAUUCGAUACUGGGAAGCUAGAGUAUGGGAGAGGAUGGUAGAAUUCCAGGUGUAGCGGUGAAAUGCGUAGAGAUCUGGAGGAAUACCGAUGGCGAAGGCAGCCAUCUGGCCUAAUACUGACGCUGAGGUACGAAAGCAUGGGGGGCAAACAGG